rnacentral:rRNA from 1 species
GACGUAGGGGGCCAGCGUUGCUCGGAAUUACUGGGCGUAAAGGGUUCGUAGGCGGUGUGGCAAGUCGGGAGUGAAAUCUCCAGGCUCAACUUGGAGGCUGCUUCCGAAACUGCCGCGCUAGAGUGCGAGAGAGGCCAGUGGAAUUGCAGGUGUAGCGGUGAAAUGCGUAGAUAUCUGCAGGAACACCCGUGGCGAAGGCGGCUGGCUGGAUCGCAACUGACGCUGAGGAACGAAAGCUAGGGGAGCAAACAGG